GCUAGAUGGGGAGAUUCCCACUGAGCUUGGUAACUUGAUAUCCUUAAAGAAUCUGUCAUUGGCUUCCAAUUCGUUCUCUGGGUCGAUCCCAAGUUCCUUUUCAGCUAUUCCAGGCUUGAUUCAUGUCGAUCUGAGCAACAACCAGUUAAACGGAAGUGUUCCAAAGUUUUUGUCAGAGCUGAAAGGGUUGAAAGUGUUGAAUCUGGAGAACAAUCAGUUCAAUGGGGUUUUACCUUUCAAUGCUAGCUUCAUAAAGCGGUUGGCUGUUUUCAAGGUUGGUGGGAAUAGCAAUUUGUGUUACAAUCGUUCUGUUUUGUCAUCAAAACUGAAGCUUGGGGUUGCUCGUUGCGAUAAGAAUGGAU
rnacentral:lncRNA from 1 species